CUACGGGUGGCUGCAGUAAGGAAUAUUGCGCAAUGGAGGCAACUCUGACGCAGCCAUGCCGCGUGCAGGAAGAAGGCCUUAUGGGUCGUAAACUGCUUUUAUUUAGGAAUAAACCCCCGAACGUGUUCGGGGCUGAAGGUACUAAACGAAUAAGCACCGGCUAACUCCGUGCCAGCAGCCGCGGGUAAUACGGAGGGUGCAAGCGUUAUCCGAUUUAUUGGGUUUAAAGGGUGCGCAGGCGGGCUAUUAAGUCAGUGGUGAAAUCCCGGGGCUCAACUCCGGAACUGCCAUUGAUACUGAUAGUCUUGAGUUUGGUUGAAGUGGGCGGAAUGUAGCAUGUAGCGGUGAAAUGCAUAGAUAUGCUACAGAACACCAAUCGCGAAGGCAGCUCACUAAGCCAAAACUGACGCUCAUGCACGAAAGCGUGGGGAUCAAACAGGAUUAGAUACCCGCGUAGUC
rnacentral:rRNA from 1 species